GCGCGUCGCAGGCUCGGGUGUGGUGGAGGGGCCCUGGGUCGGGCUCCCGCCCGGGAGUGACGGGGGGGCGGUGCUCUGCGGAGCGCAAGCUGCCUGGCCUCGGCGGGUGUGGUGACCUGGGUGCAGCCUGCUCUGGGAGCUGAGCCUUCCUCUGCGGCCUUGUGCUGUGGUAUGGGGCCUUGUUGGUGCCCGUGGGGGAGCUGAGCCUUCCCCUGCCUGUCCCCAUAGCUCUGUGCUGCAGUAUAGGGCCUGGUGGUGCCCGUGUGGGAGCUGAGCCUGUGGUCUCUCCAUUGUGGUGCCCUUGUGCUGCAGUACAGGGCCUUGAAGAGAGCACUUACCCCCUGUGUGGGAGCUGGCUGUUGUGCAGGGCUGGAGAGGGAAGAACAGCUCUUGUAUGGGCUAGCGUUGUCAGAAGUUUAGAAACUUCAGUUACCGUUGCUGGGGCGGAGUUAGCAAGAAAAGGACUAUCUGCACCAUCGUGAAACCCAGCAAAGUGGCACUGAAUGCUUUUUUUCAGUUAGGAUGAUCUCGAGUGCAAAGGCCCCUUGUGUGCAGAGAUUGUUGCUGCUGUGGUUUUUGGAGGCAGCUUUUGUUUAGCUAUCAUACAGGACCUAUCUCAGGCACCACAACCCCUUAAGUUAGUAUCAGAUGUGGCUUUUGUUUAUUAAUAGAUUGACAUUCAUACCUCAAGAACAUAGCAGGAAGACUUAACAGCUUUUAUAAUUCUUGAAAUUACACAUAUACUUCAGCCUGUUAAGGAAGCAUGUCAAACUUGUUUCAUCUCCGGAUGUCUUGUGAUAGACCGCUCUCUGCAGCUGCCCCCUGUGCAGGGUUGGAGCUGAUGUGCCCGGACAGAUGUACCUCGGACAUCAGCAGGUGUCUUGAGGAGGAGCUGACAGCUCGUAUGUGGCGGUGACUGCUUCUGCAGUUAUUCCCGGCUGCCGGGAUGACGGGUCGUUAAUCAGCUAGCUCUGAGCAAAUGCCUUUGUUUCGCUGCAGAAGAGGAAGAGGCCCGGCGGGCCGGGAGCACCAGACAUUGUGCAUUAUGCAAAUGGGCGUGCGUCACGGAGCUGCCGAUGUGUGCUCAGGCGAGGGGCCCUGAGGAGGGUUUGCUGGUGGAGCAGAGAACAGAAGAAGUCUUGUUCCUGCUCUCGCUGGUGCCACUUCCAGUGCAGCCGCCCACUUGUUCAGCUGGACCAGAGGCCACAGUGAUGCUAGCUGGAAUGGGCUGCCUCUCCUGCGCCUGUCCUUUGCUCCAGUAUUUUUAUCUCAGCUGGCAGAAAAGGAAGUGUUAGUCCAUGGCUCCAAAUGGAGGCACUUUUGUUACACUGGAUUAAUAAAUGCUGGCCUCUGAGAGGCCAACCCUGCUCUUC